rnacentral:rRNA from 1 species
GGAGGAAAAGAAACCAACAGGGAUUACCUCAGUAACGGCGAGUGAAGCGGUAAUAGCUCAAAUUUGAAAUCUGGCCUCUCGGGGUCCGAGUUGUAAUUUGUAGAGGAUGUUUUGGGUACCGCCCCGGUCUAAAUUUCUUGGAACAGAAUGUCACAGAGGGUGAGAAUCCCGUCUUGGACCGGCGGUAGGGCCUGUGUAAAACUCCUUCGACGAGUCGAGUUGUUUGGGAAUGCAGCUCAAAUUGGGUGGUAAAUUUCAUCUAAAGCUAAAUAUUGGCCAGAGACCGAUAGCGCACAAGUAGAGUGAUCGAAAGAUGAAAAGCACUUUGAAAAGAGAGUUAAACAGUAUGUGAAAUUGUUGAAAGGGAAGCGCUUGCAACCAGACUUGAGCGCGGCGGUUCCCCCGGUCUUUUGGCCGGGCUACUCCGUCGUGUCCAGGCCAACAUCGGUUCUGAGGGUCGGUCAAAGGCCUUGGGAAUGUAUCUACCCACGGGUAGACUUAUAGACCAGGGUGUCAUGCGGCCUCUCGGGACCGAGGAACGCGCUUCGGCUCGGAUGUUGGCGUAAUGGUUGUCAGCGACC